GACGAACGCUGGCGGCGUGCCUAAUACAUGCAAGUAGAACGCACAGUUUAUACCGUAGCUUGCUACACCAUACACUGUGAGUUGCGAACGGGUGAGUAACGCGUAGGUAACCUGCCUGGUAGCGGGGGGUAACUAUUGGAAACGAUAGCUAAUACCGCAUAAUAUUAAUUAUUGCAUGAUAAUUGAUUGAAAGAUGCAAUUGCAUCACUACCAGAUGGACCUGCGUUGUAUUAGCUAGUAGGUGAGGUAACGGCUCACCUAGGCGACGAUACAUAGCCGACCUGAGAGGGUGAUCGGCCACACUGGGACUGAGACACGGCCCAGACUCCUACGGGAGGCAGCAGUAGGGAAUCUUCGGCAAUGGACGAAAGUCUGACCGAGCAACGCCGCGUGAGUGAAGAAGGUUUUCGGAUCGUAAAGCUCUGUUGUAAGAGAAGAACGGGUGUGAGAGUGGAAAGUUCACACUGUGACGGUAUCUUACCAGAAAGGGACGGCUAACUACGU
rnacentral:rRNA from 1 species